UACGGAGGGGGCAAGCGUUAUUCGGAAUUAUUGGGCGUAAAGGACGCGUAGGCGACGCGAUAAGUCAAAAGGUGAAAUCCCUCGGCUCAACUGAGGAACUGCCUUUGAGACUGUCGUGCUCGAGGCCGGGAGGGGGUAGCGGAAUUCCCAGUGUAGCGGUGAAAUGCGUAGAUAUUGGGAGGAACACCAGUGGCGAAGGCGGCUACCUGGACCGGUUCUGACGCUGAUGCGCGAAAGCGUGGGUAGCAAACAGG
rnacentral:rRNA from 1 species